AUCAAGGAGGGACACGUCCGA
rnacentral:misc_RNA from 1 species